GAGCCACCACACACAGACGGAUCCUGGACAUGGGCUUCAGAUGUCGUAUUCCUCUUGUCAAGCCGCUCCUGAACAACAAACAACGUCAGAAGCAUCUUACCUGGGCUAAAGAAAAACAGACCUGUUCUGCUCAGUGGUCCAAAGUCCUCUUUUCUGAUGAGAGCAACUUUUGCAUCUCAUUUGGAAACCAAGGACACAGAGUCUGGAGGAAGAAUGGAGAGGCACACACUGCAAGAUGCUUGAAGUCCAGUGUGAAGUUUCCACAGCCAUGUCAUCUGCUGGUGUUGGUC